CAGUCGCCACGGUAAUACGUAGGUCCCGAGCGUUGUCCGGAUUUAUUGGGCGUAAAGCGAGCGCAGGCGGUUAGAUAAGUCUGAAGUUAAAGGCUGCGGCUUAACCAUAGUACGCUUUGGAAACUGUUUAACUUGAGUGCAAGAGGGGAGAGUGGAAUUCCAUGUGUAGCGGUGAAAUGCGUAGAUAUAUGGAGGAACACCGGUGGCGAAAGCGGCUCUCUGGCUUGUAACUGACGCUGAGGCUCGAAAGCGUGGGGAGCAAACAGGAUUAGAUACCCCGGUAGUCCCUGUCUCUUAUACC
rnacentral:rRNA from 1 species